rnacentral:rRNA from 1 species
GACGAACGCUGGCGGCGCGCCUAACACAUGCAAGUCGAACGGAGCUGAGAGAAGCUUGCUUUUCUUAGCUUAGUGGCGAACGGGUGAGUAACGCGUGAGUAACCUGCCCUGGAGUGGGGGACAACAGUUGGAAACGACUGCUAAUACCGCAUAAGCCCACGAUCCGGCAUCGGCUUGAGGGAAAAGGAUUUAUUCGCUUCAGUAUGGACUCGCGUCCAAUUAGCUAGUUGGUGAGGUAACGGCCCACCAAGGCGACGAUUGGUAGCCGGACUGUGAGGUUGGGCGGCCACAUUGGCGCUGAGACACGGCCCAGACUCCUACGGGAGGCAGCAGUGGGGGAUAUUGCACAAUGGCGGGAACCCUGAUGCAGCGACGCCGCGUGGAGGAAGAAGGUUUUCGGAUUGUAAACUCCUGUCGUUAGGGACGAUAAUGACGGUACCUAACAAGAAAGCACCGGCUAACUACGUG